rnacentral:lncRNA from 1 species
GAAGAAAGAAAACAGAAUCAUAGUUUAUAUCUCUAGCAAGAUCACUUUUAGAGCCUUUCAGAUUUCAGACACCUUCUUCUGUGUUUUUGUUUUCUCCUUGUUUGUCUGUUGUGUGGGUUAGUUUUUUGGUUUGUUUGGGGUUUUCCCCCUCUUUGUCUUUGUGCUGUAUUUAUCUGAUUUUUUCACUCAUCUUUCUACAUUUCCUUCUGGGCUGGAAAGCUAAUACUGCCUGUUGACAUCAUCAGCCAGUUUCUCAGAUAUUGACCUCAGACUCUGUUUUUCAGGGUUCUUUUAGGGUUCUUCAUGGGACCAGGACACUGCACAGAGCAUGAAGCAAUCGUGGAGCUGGAGAGAUCUGACUGUCCUGAAUGUCAGCUUCAAAGUAAGUGCUCAGUGGCUUAUGAGAAAUGGAGCUUGCCUCUGAGUGCCUCAAUAUGCUGAGAGG